GACGAACGCUGGCGGCGUGCUUAACACAUGCAAGUCGAACGGAAAGGCCCUGCUUUUGUGGGGUGCUCGAGUGGCGAACGGGUGAGUAACACGUGAGUAACCUGCCCUUGACUUUGGGAUAACUUCAGGAAACUGGGGCUAAUACCGGAUAGGAGCUCCUGCUGCAUGGUGGGGGUUGGAAAGUUUCGGCGGUUGGGGAUGGACGCGCGGCUUAUCAGCUUGUUGGUGGGGGAGUGGCUUACCAAGGCUUUGACGGGUAGCCGGCCUGAGAGGGUGACCGGCCACAUUGGGCCUGAGAUACGGCCCAGACUCCUACGGGAGGCAGCAGUGGGGAAUAUUGCACAAUGGGCGGAAGCCUGAUGCAGCAACGCCGCGUUCGGGAUGACGGCCUUCGGGUUGUAAACCGCUUUCGCCUGUGACGAAGCGUGAGUGACGGUAAUGGGUAAAGAAGCACCGGCUAACUACGUG
rnacentral:rRNA from 1 species